UACGUAGGGUGCGAGCGUUAAUCGGAAUUACUGGGCGUAAAGCGUGCGCAGGCGGUUUUGUAAGUCAGAUGUGAAAUCCCCGAGCUCAACUUGGGAACUGCGUUUGAAACUACAAGACUAGAGUAGGUCAGAGGGGGGUAGAAUUCCACGUGUAGCAGUGAAAUGCGUAGAUAUGUGGAGGAAUACCAAUGGCGAAGGCAGCCCCCUGGGAUCAUACUGACGCUCAUGCACGAAAGCGUGGGGAGCAAACAGG
rnacentral:rRNA from 1 species